CCUAGGGCUGGCCCCGCCCCCGACGUCUCUGGCCCCGCCCCCGACGGCCGAGAGAGGUGUGAGCUCUCCCGGAGCAGGUGCGCUUCUCCCUGGGCGCGUGCGCGGGCCUGGAGCCGCCUGGCACAUGCUGUUCUGCCGCCUGUGCUCGAGGCUUCUCACCGCAGCUCCUCCUUUCAGCUGUGAUUUCAUACCACUAACUGCCAGCUGAGUUCAAGGGCCACCUCCUGCAGGAGAUCUGCCUUAGGAACCAAACUGGACAAUGCUAAUUCCUCUCCAUAUAAAGACCCUUCAGAUACUUGAAGACAACUGUUAUAUCAAACAAGCCCUAUCUUUUCUUCUGGAUGCAAUCCCAGAUUCUUCAGUUGAUCAUUUUGUGGUAAAGUCUGAAAAUGUCUGUUCAGUAAAAUUUACUCACUUUUUGUGAAUGCCUUAUUUUGUUUUGAAGUCACUUUUUUUUUUAAUAGCUGGGGCUAUCACUCCAAAGCUGGAAUUAGGUGGAGCCAACUCUCUAUGGAUUAUGAGAGCUUCUGGUAUGAACCCCUCCUACCUGGUACAGCUGUGACAGAGA